GUGCUUGCCUCGGUAGCAUAUAUAGUAAAGGUGGAACGAUACAGAGAUUAGUAUGGUCCUUGCGCAAGGAUGAUGUGCAAAUUCUUGAAGUGUUUCAUAAUUAC
rnacentral:snRNA from 1 species